AUUUCUUUUUUUUAGGCUUGGAGAUGUAUCCCAAAAAUGGUGAAUGCAGGUAUGAGUAUAGAGAAUUGUGUGAAAAUAGAAAAGUUUUCAGAGUUCUGAAUUUUAAAGAAUUUCAAAGUUAAGUGUUCGUUGGAAAAGAUACAAAUAAUUAUGUUUGUCCAGCUUUGGCUCCAGAUGUCAGAUCUUAGCCCUCAGAUGUUAGGUGUGAGUCCUUAAAUUUUAAAGAAGAAGUUCUCUAUACGUCACUAGUUGAUAGUGACCAAAAGAGUAACGUGGGUGUG